rnacentral:rRNA from 1 species
GUAUGAAUGGCACCACGAGGGCUUAACUGUCUCCCUCUCCCAGUCAAUGAAAUUGAUUCCCCCGUGCAGAAGCGGGGAUAAAAGCAUAAGACGAGAAGACCCUAUGGAGCUUAAGACGCCAGGACAGCUCAUGUUAAACACUCCAAAAUAAAGGAAAUAAACUGAUUGAAACCCUGUCCUAGUGUCUUUGGUUGGGGCGACCACGGGGAAAAAUCUAACCCCCAUGUGGAAUAGGAAUACUAUUUUCCCAUACCCAAGAGUUCCCGCUCUAAUAAACAGAACUUCUGACCAAAAUGGAUCCGGCAAUGCCGAUCAACGGACCGAGUUACCCUAGGGAUAACAGCGCAAUCCUCUUAAAGAGUCCCUAUCGACAAGGGGGUUUACGACCUCGAUGUUGGAUCAGGACAUCCUAAUGGUCGNCCCGNUUAA